rnacentral:lncRNA from 1 species
UCAAACUCAUGUAUAAAAAUAUUUAUAUGUAAUCAAACUAUCAAUAAGGUUCCUAAAAUUUUUUAUUGAAGAAAAAGAAUGAUCCAUUACCAAAAAAUUAAGGGUCUGAAACAAUUUAUCUCUAACUCUAUCAGAGUCAUCUUCUUCUCCUCAAAAGCUCUCUUGAUUUUCUUUCUACACCACCAGAAAAAAAAUAAGAAAAGGGAAUUAACAUGUUUAUUCCCUCCACUAAAACUCUUUCACGCCCAAAUAUCUUCCCUCCUCGAACCAAUCAUCACCUAACUGAUGCCUAAUAACUCGUAAGCCAAAGUCCAUAAUUUAUACAUAUGGGGCACUAAAGAAGGAUUUGAUUACAUAACUCUACCUCGUUUUGCAUUAAAAAACAAUUAUUCAACAAUAGUUUUCCCCUCCUAAUAACCUUGUUAAUAAUAAGGGUGCUCCAUCGACUUAUUUCCCACCGAAGAAUGCAACUUUGGAUUAAGUAAUAACUUUUAAGAUUUGCCAAAAAUAAAACUUGGUGUUUGUGUGUAAUAACCUAAAUUACCCCCGAAUUUAUUUUUUCAUAUUUUGUAUGAUUAUUUUGGACAUAAAUAUGUAUAUAGAGAAAUGUUAUAAGGAUAGAAACUUACUUUUUGCAGAAAAGAAAGGAAAAAUAAGAAAAUUAGAGUUAGAAAAAAUUUUCCUCGAGUGGGAAUUUUCCUCAAAGAGAAAUCAAUUAUUUCCAACCAAGAAAUUUUUUCAAGGCCAAAACAUUGUCCUAAUAAGUUGAAAGACAUCUUUAAGAAGUGAGAAAAAUGUUAGAAAUGAAAUUAGGAAGAGUAAAGGAAAGAAAGGUUAAGCACGAAUAACACCUUUCCUGAAUAAUAGGAGAAAAUCACCUUUCAGGACAAAAAUGCUUCUCGAGUUGAAAAUUGGUGAAAAUUAAGGGUGAAAUUCAAGGAGACACUAGUUAACACAUGAGAAAAGAAAAUUGCAAAGUGAAAACUUUUGUAGAAUAAACAUUGGGAGAUAAAUGCACAAAAUUGAUAGCUUGAAAAAUGUUUCCCCGAGAAGCUUCUAAAUGUCCUUUAAGGAUAAAGUUUCUUCACGGGGCCAAAAUUGAUGGAACUUGAGGCUUAAAUUCAAUGGAGUGCAAGUUAACAUGUGAGAAAAGAGAAAUUUGCAAUGAGACAAAUUUUUGUAGAAGGAAAAUUUGGAGAGAAAAAUAAAAACCCGAGAGGGAAAUAAAAUUUUCCCGAGAUGCCUUUUUUCGAUUUCUGUGGAGAAAAACCCUAAAUAAAUAACAAAAGGCCAUUGGUUGGGACUUGAUAACAUUAAGGGGGUGCAACAAAGAGCUACAUGGCAGAAUUUGAAAGGAUUGAAAGCAAAAAAAACUAGCUUAAAAUGGUGGAAGAGGCAGCAAGCUUGUGAAAUGUGACCCAAUUAAGUCCAAACAUGAACCAAUCGAAAGUUACCAGGUUGAGGAAUAUGUGAAGCAUGAGGUAGCAGAAAGCCAUGCUAAAAUAAGCAGCUAAAUGGCACCAUAAGAGGAAGAGGUGAAGAGGAAGCAAGAUGUGGCAGAUGAGGCAGUUUUGAGGGAGCUGUCGGCAUGCCAUGUGUCUAACCUUUAUCGAUUUUAAUUUCCCUCCUUUAUAAAUAAGGGGCUGGGGAAGAGGAGAAAGCACACCAAGUCGAGAAGGCAAGUGAGGAACAUAAAGAGAAAGGGAGAGACCCGGGCCAGUAAAGGAAAGAAAGGAAUAAGAACAAUCGUGAGGUUUAUGAGAAAAAAUCAAGGAAUCUUGGGGGAAAAUUCUAGAGAAAUUUUGAGAUAAAUUUAGAAGGAAUAGGUAGAAAAAGCAAGAGAGGAGGAAAAAAAUUGGAAGCCAACCAGUAGGCAAGGAAGGUCAAAUAUAAGAAAACAAGGUAAGUAAUUACCUUUGAUUUUGAGUUCGAUUUUCCUUUAAUGUUUGGGAUACAUUUUGGGUAAUAAAGGUGGUGAUUUUUAAGGUAAGAAAAAGACUAAAAUAAUCACGGGACUUUACUGAAAUUUCAAAAGAAAAAGCUUAAAACUCAUCCUGGAUUUAUGCUAGAAUUUUUAGAGAAAAAAAAAAAGAAAUGUCCAAAGAGGUAUGUUGUUUCGGAUUUCUUUUCCUUAGAAAUAAUUUCCUAUUUGGUUGUUGAUCUUUUUGAGUUCAAAGUGAUGAUGAUUCUAAGGGGAG